UGGCUCUUUGGCCAAUUUUCUCUUUGGAGAUUCAAGGCCUAACUGGUACCGAAGAAUGCAAAUUGCUUUCGAUAUAGCCAGAGGGCUCCUUUACCUCCAUGAAGAAUGCAGCUCCCAGAUAAUCCAUUGUGAUAUCAAACCUCAAAAUAUCCUCCUCGACAAAUCUUUUAAUGCAAGGAUUUCUGAUUUCGGAAUAGCCAAGCUGCUGAAGACAGACCAAACUAAAACAACUACAGCAAUCAGGGGGACCAAAGGGUAUGUAGCUCCUGAAUGGUUCAAGAACCUGCCUGUCACAACCAAAGUCGAUACCUACAGCCUUGGCAUUCUUUUGCUGGAGCUAGUUUGUUGCAGAAAGAACUUUGAUAUUGAUAAGAAAGAAGGUCAGAUAGUUCUUGCAGACUGGGCAUGGGAUUGCCUUAAAGAAGGAAAGUUAGACCUUUUAGUUGAAGAUGAUGAAGAGGCAGCAGAAGACAUGAAAACGGUAGAGAGGUUUGUGAUUGUUGCAAUUUGGUGCCUUCAAGAGGAUCCAUCUUUAAGACCUGAAAUGAAGAAAGUUGUGCUGAUGCUAGAAGGAGCUGUUCAAGUCUCUAUUCCUCCUAAUCCUUCAUCAUUUAUCAGCGCAAUCUAAAUCCUUUUUGUACACAUGUAUAUAUCCAGUUACUAAGACCAAUGAAUGUAACCUAUCUACCAUGCAUUGAAUGAUCUGUAGUUGCUGUCAUUUCAGACAUGUCUAGAUCAUCUUCUGGGUUGAUACUCUAAAUUUCAAGUCAAAUGAUGAUUUCUUCAACCUGUCCAAUUGAGUAACAGAUUGAUUGAGUCUUUAUCAGCUUGGAAAGAAAAACAUCAUGUGUUACAACAUGCACAACAAGGCUUCAAAUACUUGCAUCCAUUUUUUAUUUUCCUUUUCCAUGCUCAAGAGUAACGAGUAGAAUCAAAGAAUCAUUAUUCAAAAUAUGUGCUUAAUAAAUAAUUACUAACCAGUACUUCAAUCUUAAACGGUCUAGCUUUUAUAGACUUGGCCCGUGUAAAUAGCAUGUUUGUUUCCCAAGUUAUUUAUCAUAAUGUAGUCCUAAUUAAGAUCAUAUUAAUUGAGCUUGGCUUGAUUUUCAUAAAAAACUUUGUUUGUAGUUAUUAGAUUAACUCAGCCUGAUAAAUUCACAACUUUAAUUUUUUUCUGUUUUUAAAAUAUCGUUUUAACUUUUAUUAAAAUAAAUUAAAAUAAUAUUAUUUUAAAUUAAUUUAAAAAAUCUAAAUUAACAUAUCUAGUCUGUGGGUCAUGUGCGAGUUCGGGCUUAAUAUUUUGUAUGUGAAUGGUUUGUUUAACAUCUUGAGAAAUUUAGUAAUUGCAGACAAAAGUGGACCAGUCCAUUAUAAUAAUGAUAGGAAGAAAAGGUUCAUUUUGGCGUAAAAGACAAUUUUAGACCAAUAUAAAAGACUAGUCGUGCAUUUGUUGUCUUGUUUAUGUAUGACACGUAGUCGAUGGCAAUGUGACUUUCAAAUUGGAUUGAUUCGUGUGUUAAUUGUACCGUGCACGUUAAAGUUUCAUGCGCUUAUUUAUUUUCUUUUCUUUUUUUCCAUAUUAAAGAGUAACGAGUAAAAUCUUAUAUUUAUAUAUUAGCAUUAAGCAAAAGGGUUUUAUAAUUUAUUAUUCCACUUAAUUUAAUUUUAAAUAAAUUUUUUUUUGAAAGGUUUAGUUUGAAUGAUAAAUGAGUUUGUUCUUAAGCUACUAUUUAGAAUUGAAUCCUUAAAAAAACGAUUCCUUUUUCUGACUUUACAAAUUCAGAUAUAAAUGCUCUAAUUCAAACUCAAUACAUAGGAGGAAUUCAUUCCAAGAAUGAUCACUUUUAAUUCACUUUACAUAUUACUCAACAACAAAUUGAUGUUAAUAGCUCACACUACGCUACAUACUAGAUUUUUUAUAUAUAUAAAGGAAAAUAUGCAGAUGUUUCUAACAUAUUUUCUAGUAAAAAUAAUUUAAAUUAUAUGUGGGUUGACCUGAUAUAACUUGAUUAACUUGAGAUGAAUGAUCGUUAAAAAAAAUUUUGAUAAAAAAAAUCCCAAGAGGAUUUUUUAAAGAAAUAUUAAGACAAAAACAUAUCGGAUCGACUUAGGUCAACUUGGGUUAACUUGUCAAAUCAAUAUUAUUGGUACCCAUUUUGGGACCCCAUACUAAGAAAUUAAAAAACAAUAUUGGAAAAAUAAAAUAUAUAUCAGUAAGAAAAACAUGAAAAUUGUCUAGAAAAUUUCCAAAAACUAGUUGAGAAGGACCAAAAUACCCAAAUUUGAAAAAUUAACAGUUCAAUUUUGAUUGAUGAAGGUCUUAUUAACAAGAAAAAUGCAAUUUGGAAAGAAAAAUUCAAAAUUAGAUGUUUAAUAACUCAAUUGGUAUUUUUUUUAGGGUUUAAUUGAAUUUAUUAAGGGUUUAAUUGCUAGGAAUGUUGGUUUUUGAAUUCAAUUUGGGCUUUAAUUGGAAAGAAUUGAAGUCUUGGGGUUGAAUUGCAAUUUUAAAAAGAUGAUUUGAUCAAAUCAGAGGUUUAAUUGUAUAAAUAUUAAAGUUUAAUAGGCAAUUAAGGACUUGAUUGAAGAAACUUAAAAUCAAAGACCAAACCAUAAAAGACAUGAGACUUCAAGGAUUUAAAUCGAUAAAAUCAAGGGUCAAAUUAAAAACAAUUGAAGGUUUGAUAGUCAAUUGAUUGUCAAUGACCUAAUUAUCUAGCUAUUGCUCUAAGACGUACAGCUAAUAACAAGUCUUUUUUGCAUGUCUCUUUUGCAUGGGUUUAUCACACAGUCCUUUCUUCGCGUUAAUAUAUAUUGGAAGAGUCACCUAAUGUUUGAGUCAUUGCGAUAAGCAUUUUCUGAGGAAGUAAGCAGGAAGCUGCUAUGUUUUGUCCUCCAGUCAAAUAUUGAUAAUUUAUUUUAGUUUUUUUUAUAGUAUAACGACCGGGAGUUAACUCAAGUUAAUUUAUAAAAGUAUCAUUUUGUUAUUUAAAAAUAUAUAUAUAUAUAUUAUUUUUUUAUUUUUUUAAAAAAUUAAACAAGAUUUUUAUAUAAUGAAAUCGACCGGGUUUUGGUUUUGGGUUGGCAGAUAAAUACAUUGACCGUUUAAUAACCGGAAAAAUUGGAUAUUAGUUAAAAUUUAUUUACCAAAAAGAAAAAAUCAUAAAGACAGAAAGAAAGUCUUUGCCAUCUUCAUUUGAUACGCAGAAGGUUUUUAGCAUUAGUUUAUUCUCAUGCAUGAAAAAAUGAUUCGAAAUUAGUUGAAAUUUCUUUAUCACAAUUAACCACAUAAAGAAAGUCUUUGCCAUAUUCAUUUGAUAAAUGCAUUGACCGUUUAAUAACUGGAAGGUUUUUAGCAUUAGUUUAUUCUCAUGCAUGAAAAAAAGAUUCGAAUUUAUCACAAGGGAAAAAUACAAUCACAUAAAUACAAUCUCUUUAUCAAUUAGUUGGAGACCCAUAUUUUCCUCCAACGACAAUACUCAGCAUAAAUAGAGAAGAGGACCUGUGCCCUAAAUCAUGCAAUGUCUUGAUAUACAGUAUCUUCACAUCAUGGAUUUUCAACUACCAUAUUGUUUUUUCUUCCUUCUUCUUCUGCUGCUGCCAUUUUCUAGCAAUGGUCAGGCUCACAGCAACAUAUCUUCGGGCUUAUUUCUCACUGCUGCAAGUGAUAACCUUCCUUGGACUUCACCAUCUGGGGAAUUUGCUUUUGGAUUCCAACAAGUUGGUGAUGCUGGCUACCUACUUGCCAUAUGGUUCAACAAAAUACCCGAAAGAACCAUAGUCUGGUCAGCUAAUAGAAAUGAUCUAGUUCAGGGGGGAUCAAGAGUACAACUUGUUGGGGAAUUCCGGCUCCCCUUGCGCGGACCGGGGGUGUACUGAUAUUUGCUCAUAGGAGGGUAAAGCACACUGACACAAUAUUUUACGUGGUUCGGCAAAACCGCCUACAUCCACGGGAGAGAGUCCAUUUUAUUUGAGAUUAGAGAAAGGAUAUACAUGGAGGAGGAGGAUCACUUCACUCAAACUCUACUCCCAGCUCUCAUUGCUGCACUUGCAGCUGCUGCAAUGGCAACAAGGCUGCUGCCAUUGCAGCUCUCCACUUUCUCUCUAUACUCUUCACAUUCUCACACCUCUCUUACCUUUUGCUCUCUCACGUAUGCCUAUAAAUAGGCAAGUAUGGUGGCUUCUCUUCUUCAACAACAGCAGCUGCACAUGGGUUGAUACAUUUGUCAAUGGUGGGUGCAACUACCAUUGACAAAUGGUAACCCUACUCCUUAGGGUAGGUUGCCCAAUAAUGGCAAAUCCCAACACAACUUACCAGAGAUGGUGAGUUGGUUCUAAAUGAUCAAUCAGGCAGAACAAUAUGGAGUCCAGUUUUUGGUGGAAGUGGAGCCGCCUAUGCAGCCAUGCUUGACACGGGAAACUUCGUGGUAGCAAGCCAAGCUGGUGCCAAUUUGUGGCAGAGUUUUGAUGAACCAACAGACACACUGUUGCCCACACAAAAUCUGAAUUUAGGUGCUCAACUAAUUGCUCCCUACCUGGAAAAGAAUUAUUCAGAUGGAAGAUUCAAGUUCAUUCUACAAGCUGACAGCAAUCUCGUACUGUACACAACACGUUAUCCAACAACUACCUCAAAUUAUGCUUAUUGGUCUACCCAGGAUUCUAUUGGAAGCGGUUAUAGGGUGGUCUUUAACCAGUCUGGCUAUAUGUACCUCGCAGCCCAAAAUGGCGCUAUGCUUAAUUCGGUAUUCUCUAAUUCAGUAUCAAUGCAAGAUUUCUACUUGAGGGCUACCAUAGACUAUGAUGGAGUUUUUAGGCAAUAUGCUUAUCCAAAGACUGCUUCCAGUAGCACAAGGUGGGCUAUGGCCUGGACGACUUUGCCAAACUUCAUACCCUCAAAUAUCUGCGUGGUAAUUAGGGGACCAGUAGGCAGUGGAGCUUGCGGUUUCAACAGUUAUUGCAUAGUAGGAGAUGACCAAAGACCGACAUGCAAGUGUCUUCCUGGUUACACUUUCUUUGAUCCAAAUGAUGAGAGGAAGGGAUGCAAGAAAGACUUUAUUUCACAGGAUUGUGACCAUCCAUCGCAAGAAAUAGAUAACUUUAUGAUCAGGGAUAUGCUUAACACAAACUUUCCAUAUACUGAUUAUGAAGAUUUUUUUUCAGUGGACGAGGAUUGGUGCAGACAAGCUUGCUUGAGUGACUGCUAUUGUGCUGUUGCCACUUAUAACAGUGGACACUGUUGGAAGAAGAGAGGCCCUCUCUCGAAUGGGGUAACAGAUCCAAGUAUUGGUGAUGAAGCCCUGAUGAAAGUAAGGAAAGGCAACCGGACUGCAGGUUCAAGUGCAAAGAAGAGUGAUCGAUCAAUUUUGAUCACAACAGGAUCGGUGCUUUUAGGUAGCUCCAUCUUUCUAAUUGUUCUCUCUCUGCUAGGAAUCUACGUGUUCUUUACUCGAUCGAACCAACAAAAACAAAAGGUGGUACCGCAACUCCAUGUCAUGCCAGAAAUGAAUCUGCAGAAUUUUACUUUCAAUGAGCUGGAAACAGCUACAGGAGGAUUCAAGGAAGAAGUUGGUAGGGGUGCUUUUGGAAUUGUUUACAGAGGGGCACUAGCCAACGAAGACAAACCGCUCAUCGCAGUAAAGAAAUUAGAAAAGAUGGCCGGGGAGGGCGACACAGAAUUCAAUACAGAAGUGAAAGUUAUUGGCAGAACAAAUCACAAGAAUCUGGUUCAACUUAUUGGAUUCUGUAACGAAGGGGAAAAUCGCCUUCUGGUCUACGAGUACAUGAGCGGUGGCUCCUUGUCAAACUACAUAUUUGGAUAUUCAAGGCCUAGUUGGCACCGAAGAAUGCAAAUUGCUUUCGGUGUAGCCAGAGGGCUAGCUCCUUUACCUCCAUGAAGAAUGCAGCUCCCAGAUAAUCCAUUGUGAUAUCAAGCCUCAAAAUAUCCUGCUCGACGAAUCUCUUAACGCCAGGAUUUCAGAUUUCGGACUAGCCAAGCUGUUGAAGACGGACCAAACCAAAACAACGACAGGAAUCAGGGGGACGAAAGGGUAUGUAGCUCCUGAAUGGUUCAAGAACCUGCCUGUCACAACCAAAGUAGAUACCUACAGCUUUGGCAUUCUCUUGCUGGAGCUAGUUUGCUGCAGAAAGAACUUUGAGAUUAAUGCAAUGCAAGAAGAUCAGAUAGUUCUUGCAGACUGGGCAUGUGAUUGCCUUAAAGAAGGAAAGUUGAACCUUUUAGUAGAAGAAGAUGAAGAGGCAAUGGAAGACAUGAAAAGGGUAGAGAGGUUUGUGAUGGUUGCAAUUUGGUGCAUUCAUGAAGAUCCAUCUUUAAGACCUGGAAUGAAGAAAGUUGUGCAGAUGUUAGAAGGAAGUGUUCAAGUCUCUGUUCCUCCUGAUCCUUCAUCAUUUAUCAGCACAAUCUAAAUCCUUUUUGUACAUAUAUAUAUAUCCAGAAACUAAGGCCAAUGAAUGUUACCUAUCUACCUUGCAUUGAAUAAUCUGUAGUUCCUUGUAUUGAAUAAUCUGUAGUUCCAAUCAUUUCAGGCAUCAUGUGUUAGACCUUGUAAAAUAAGGCUUAAAACGCAUGCUUCCAAUUAUUAUUUUUUCUUUUCCAUGUUCACCAGUAAUAAGUAAAAUAAAAGAUUUGAAAUGAAUAUAAAGGUAAACUCGUAUAUAAUUAGAUAUUUUUUCUUUAUUUUUUUUUAGGAUUUUAAAUAUUAACGCAUAGAUAAAGUUCAGGAUAUUAAAUAUAAUUUCUAGCAAGAAAGUGAAAAUCAAUCUUAAAAGGUUUAUUUUAAUCAUCCUUUUUAGAUAUUUGCAUUAAGAAAAAACUUGGAGCAUCCAAAUCAUUCACUGUGAUAUAAAGCCGCAGAACAUUCUCAUUGAUGACGACUACAAUGCUCUAAGCUGAGGAGAAGAAACGACAGUACUGUCUUGACAAAUGUUUCCUAUGUGAAAGCGUUGUGAAACAGGGCAGGCUUCAUUCACGUGAUCUUCAAGAGAAAGUUUUGGUUGGAUAAAUAAAUAAAUAUACUAAGAAAAAAUAAAGGGAAAAAAUAGAAAUUUAUUUGUUUUUGUGUUUUGAAAAUGUUUUUAAAAAAUUUGAAUUUUUAUUUUAUUUUUUUCUUUACUUUAAAUUAAUAUUUUUUUAUGUUUUUAGAUUAUUUUGAUGCACUGAUAUUAAAAAUAAUUUUUUAAAAAUAAUAAUUACAACCUUCCAAACACGCAAGCCAUGCAGCUCACGUACCUACUAGAGACGAUUUUAACUCGCGGCCUGCACUAUUUUAGGCUGUGUUUGUUUCCUGGAAAAUGGUUUCCGGGAAACCACUUUCCAAACUUUUCUGUGUUUGUUUGUCAUCAUGAAAGUUGGUCAACGGAAAACACUUUACGGUCAACGGAAAACACUUUCCAGUCAAAGGAAAAUUUCGCUUGGUUUCCAGGAAAAUGUUUUCCUUUUAUUUUGGGCGGAAAACACUUUCCGGAAGUUGUGAAAAAUUUAGAAAUGUCAUAUUAUUUGUUAAUUAUAUCAAAUUUGGUCCUCAAACUUUUGAUUGCUAUAUAUAUUUUGUUUUGAAUAUUUGUUUUUCAAUUUCAUCCAUUAAAAUUGAAUUUUUAUAUUAAUUUAUGAAAUGUUAAUUAUUAUUAUUAUUUUAAUUUCUUCAUCUUUCAAUUUUUUUUAUUUUUUAGAUUUGAUCUCUAUUAUUUUGAUUAUUAUUUAUUUUAUUUGAGAUAAUUUAUGAAAUUAUAUUUUUUUUUUCAAUUUCAUUUUGAUUCAACUUUUUAAUUUGUAAGAUUUGUUUCUUAUUAUUUUAAUAAACUUGAAAAAAAUAAAACAUUAAUAAGUUAUUUUCCAGCUCAUUUUCCAUGACAGAACCAAACACUGAAAAGUGUUUUCCAACUUAUUUUCCAUUACACUACCAAAUAUCGGAAAAUAAUUCAUUUUCCUGAAAUUUACUUUUCAAAAGAAAACUACUUUCCAGUAAAUAAACGGGGCCUUUGUAAAUCAAAAGAAAAGCUGCCAUUACCCUUGCUUUUUGUAGCAGCACGUUAAAACAAUAAAAAACUAAAAAAAAUAUUUUUAUAAAAAAAUUAAAAAUACUUUUUAAACAUGAAUACAAACACAAUCAACGUAAAGUCGGCAGCCAAGUAAUUAGAUUUUUUCUUUCUUUCUCACUCUCUCAGCUAAAGAAAAUAAUCGGUUAAAGAAAGAAAGAGAAGAAGGGAAGUGCAUGAAUUCCUUUUUUACAAGGAUUUUUCUACUUUUUGUUUAACCUCAAUUUCAACCACAGUUUUAACCAAACACCUAUUUUUUCAAAUCAACCUCAACUAAAAGUACUUUUUAUAAAACAACUUUUUUCAAAUCACAACCACAACAGCUACCGCAAUAUCAAACACACUCAUAGUCCUUGAAUGUAAUCGAGUAAACUUGAGUUGAAGUAGCUUGAUCAUGACAUUUAACUAUCGUAAAACAUUUAUAAAUGGAAAUAUAAAUACCUUUUUAUAUACCAUGUGUUUGGUUGCUAUAUUAUGGAAGGAUAUGUGUUUAAUUAAUACAUUUGAUGGAUUACCUGCUUGUAAAGUUAAUACAUAUGUGUUAUAGAUAGAUUUUUUCUUACGUUAGUUGUCCCGACUAUAUCAAAAUUGACCAUCACCGCAUUAGUUUAAUUAACUAUUAUGAAUCGAUUGACUAGUUCAUAUUCUUGUUAAUGGUACUGAAAUUUAAUUGAUAUCGUGAUUUAGAAUCACAACAUUUAAUUAAAUAUCAUGUUUAUAAAUCACGAUAUCCAAAAGUAUGCUAUUUUGCUAAAAAAAUUUUGCUACGGUGUCAAUUUUUUUUUUUUUUUUUUGCAUUUUAUAUGCUAAUUACACAAAUUUAUCCUUGCAAUCCUUGAUGUCUCACCAUUAAAAAAAAAAAAUUGGUUAAACAUGUAUGUAUUCAUUUAUUUGAUACAUAGAAUGAACUUGGUUAGAAAAUUUCUUUGUUUCUUGAGAAAAAUAAAUUAAAACAUCUCUGUACCUCUAACCUUUGUCCAUUUCAGUGGAUGAUGUGCCUCACGAAUCCUGAAUCUGAUCCCCGCCCAAUUGAAUUUUGGAAACAUCCACUAUUUUAUGCGGCUCUUUUAAGAAAUAAAAAACACGUGGAGAUUUCGAAACAUUUCCCACGUGUAAGAUCUACCUAAAGGGAAAAUCAUCGAGUAUCAGUCACAAGAGCCUUCUGUCCAAUUUUUUUUUUCCUCUUAUCCCAUUACUAAAUGGACCGACAGAAAGGGUGCAGGUGCGCAAGAAAAAUUAAAGAAAACAGUAGGUGGACUUUUAAGAACUAUAUAUCCGUUUGGGGACGAAAACUUCGUAUAAAUUAACUUAAAUCCCAAAAAGACGUGACAGCACAUUCAAGAAUAUCUAUCUACUUUACUUUAAAAAAGAAGAAAUAACUGCAUAAAAGAGGAAAAUAAAUAAAAAAUCUAUCGAUAAUACAGCCAUGUUUGAUCUUCUAGCUACUGGAUAAAACAGGCAAAAUAACUAUCAGUAGAAGGCAAAAUCAAGCAAAGGAUUUGACAACAAAUUACAGCGAUGAAUCCAUGUAAAUAAUUGAGAUUAUGUAAGAGAGAUAGACAUAGUAAUUAGUACGUACGUGCCUUUCUAGCUCUCUGUGGUACCAAAUACAUGGUGAACGUAGGGUGGUUAUAAUUAAGAGCCCUCCAUAAUGCAGAUAAUGAAUAUUACCAGAGACUGUACGGGGAGAGACUACAGUGGCUAAGGCGCCUAAUCCAGCAUAAUUUGCACGAUUUACCUUAUCAGCAUAACAAAAACUCGAUUCAUACGUACUCGUUAUCAUCCGUAGCUAGUCCAAAGUCUCUAGACCAACAUGAAAGACAUGUCGUUGCUUUCUCCUCGUUGUUUGUGUUCAUGCACGAUUCGGUGGCAAAUUAGCAAAAGGGUAUACUUUAUCAUUUGCCCCUGUAAAUGAAACAAUUUUCUUUUUGUACCCUUAUAUUUUAAAGAUCUCGAACUUCACAAUUCUAGUUUAUAAAUGAACCAAAUUAAUGUCAUCCUUUUCAUCAAAUACCUUACCUUUUUCGAAUCUUUGAAGUGUUUUAUUUCAUGAGAGGAAAAUAUAAAUAUGAAAAAUCAAAAUCAACAUGAAUAAAUUUGAGUUUUUUUUAUAUAACUUGUUAGGAUUUUAGGGAUUUUUAAUUUAAAAAAAAUUGUAGAAGAAUCUUAAAUCAAAGCAGUUAAAACUGUGUAAUUGGAGUGGUUUAAAAAAAAAGGAAGCUUCUUAUUAAUUUCAUUACUAAUAUUUAUUAUACAAUAAUAUAAAUUAUAUCUUAAAUUAUCAUCAAUAUCUUAAAUUUUUUGGUUAAACUAGUUAUUUGAUAUGACAUUAAAAUUUUAUUAGCUAAAUUAUCAUUUUUGCGAUUCCUUUUUUUGUCCUAGAUUUAUUAGAAUUUCGUUAAAAAAAAGACCAGAAUAUAUAACUUUUCAGGAACCAGUUAUUUAACGAUUCAUUGAGUAUGAAAACAAACUUCAUUUUUGCAUUUCUUUCUCCAAGUUCUAGUUGGAUUUUCUCAGAAAGACCAGGAUUUUAGAGAUUUUCAAUGAAGAAAAUUUGUAGCACACGCAAUCCUAAAUCAAGAGAAACAGUGAAGCCUUUAUAGUUGAAGUGGUCAAAAGAAAAGGGAAACUCCCGAUUAAUUCCAUUAGUAAUGGUGACCAUUGAAACAAGCCACGCCGUUUAUUCCAAUGGCAUUAGUAAUUGCUCUAAGAUUCAUUGCUAAUAAUUUCUCUUUUUUGAACACCCCUUUCUUCACGUUAAUAUUGGAAAACUUGACCGUUGAGAUUUACAAUUUUCUAAUGCUUUACUUUUACUUCAUUAAUUUAUUCACGCUAGUUUUCAUGCUCCCCUUAAUUUAUUCAUUUGUAUCUUAUAAAAUUAGAUUCAGUGUCUUUUAAAAGUAGUGCAUAUUGCAAAGUUAUUAAAUUUGGUCCGGCUCACGGGUUAAUAUUGAGUUGAUCCAAAUCAAACCAUAAUAAUGUCAUUUUAAUUUUUUUAUAACUUCAAACGAUAUUGUUUUGGAAAAAAAAUCAAAUUAGAUUUAGAUAAGAUUUUUACUGCUUCAUAGCUUGACCUGCUAAGAUAAUCAAGUUUAACCGAGUGAACUUCUAUCCAGAUUAAUUUAAAAUUUAACUCAAUUGAGAAUAACAGAAUGACUUGGGUUGGCCUUAGCCAACCUUUCCUAUUUAUAUAUGUACGGCAUAACACGGCAGCAACCGUAGGGAUUACAACAUUGGAAUAAUCCUACAUUAAUUUUUUAUUCAGAGAUAUACAUGCUAUACAUUCUAUAAUAUGCCCCCUCAAGCUGAGGGUGGAGGAUCGACCCGAAACUUGAACCUGAAAGCAGUAAAGGACACAGCGGAAAGUGGUUUGGUGAAGACGUCAGCAAGUUGGUCCCGAGAAGGGAUAAAGCGAAUCUGAAUUUCCUUCUUCGCAACCCAGUUGCGGACAAAAUGAUAAUCUACCUCAACAUGCUUAGUACGAGCAUGAAAGAUAGGAUUCGCCGAGAGAUAGGUCGCACCAAGAUUAUCACACCAAAUGGUAGGAGUAGAGACGAUGGGAACUACAGAUCUAUUAACAAAUAUUGAAGCCAGAUGACCUCAGUAGUACCAUCUGCUAAGGCUUUAUACUCAGCCUCAGUGGAGGAACGGGCAACUGUACGUUGUUUGCUGGAUUUCCAUGAAAUCAGUGUCUGACCAAAGAAAACAAGAUAGCCACCCGUAGACUUGCGAUCAUCAAUACUACCAGCCCAAUCUGUAUCUGUAAAGCCAUGAAGAGCAAAAGAGGUGCCUCGAGUGAUAUGAAAACCAUAGGAUGCCGUUCCUUUGAGGUAGCGGAGUAUGCGUUUAACAGCAGCCCAAUGGGAAUCUGUAGGAGCAUGCAUGUACUGACAAACUCUGUUAACAGCAAAACAGAUAUCUGGAUGAGUGAAUGUAAGAUACCGAAUAGUACCCACGAUUUGACGAAAUCGUGUGGGAUUAGAGAAUGGAUGAUCCGGCUGUAUAACAAGUUUGGAAGGAGAGACUGGAGUAUCAACGGGUUUACAAGAAGUCAUACCAACCCAAGUGAGGAUGUCAAGAAUAUAUUUGUGUUGGCGCAGCAUCAGACCCAUACCUGUAGACUGAAUUUCAAUACCCAGAAAGUAGUGAACAUCACCUAAGUCACGAAGCUUGAAUUCUGAGCUUAGUAACUGGAUUAGGUGAUGAAGCAUGGCAGAGUUGUUGCCCGUAAGCAGAAUAUCAUCAACAUAGACCAAGAGAUAAAAGAUAUUAGUACCAUCAGAUAAGAUAAACAGGGAGGUGUCAACCUUGGAGGCAAGGAAACUAAUGGAGAGUAAAAAAUCACUCAGACGGGUGUACCAUGCCCUUGGUGCCUGUUUUAAACCAUAUAAUGACUUGUGCAAUCUGCACUCAUGAGAUGGAAAAGUAGGGUCAACAAAACUUGGAGGUUGUUUCAUGUAAACCUCUUCAGUAAGAACACCAUUGAGAAAGGCAUUAUGAAUAUCAAGCUGAUGAAUCUUCCAAUUACAGGAAACCGCAAUGAAAAAGACUAAUCUGACGGUGGCUUGCUUAAUAAUUAGGCUGAAAGUUUCAGAAUAAUCAAUGCUUUCCUGAUGAGUAAAGCCUCUAGCAACUAGACGGGCUUUAUAAUGUUCAAUGCUGCCAUUAACAUGAUGUUAGAUUCGAUAUACCCAUCGGCUACCCACAACAUUCAUCGAAUGAUGAAAGGGCACUAGGGACCAAGUGUGAUUGGAACGUAAAGCCUUGAUCUCAUCACACAUAGCAUCAUGCCAAGCAACAUAUUUAUCUGCAUCAGAGAAGGCAAUAGGUUCAGAAGAAUGAGAGACCAAUACCCGGGUGGCAGUUGUAUCAGCUGCAGCAGAGGCCACUAUAUUUGUGGUUUUGGGCUGCCGCGGUCUAAGGACCAUAGGGUGGCGGCUGAGCAAUGGUGGCGACGCAGAAGAGGUAGGUGUCACAGAGGUGUCCUGUUGCAGUGGAUAAGCGGAGAGAUCAACCACUAGAUUCAGACCAGGUGAAGAAGUCAGGGAAGAAGCUGCUGCAAGUAGAGGGCUGGCAGUAGAGAUAGAGUCUGCAGAAGCCGGGUGACUGGCAGAAUAAGGGGAAGCAGAGGAGGAACCAAAGGUUGUCCCAGUACUAGUAGAGACAUCGUGCUGGAGUGCAGGGAAAACUGAUCGACAACCUGUACCUACAACAGAAUGGUGAGAUAAAGAUGCAUGUGGUGAUCGGCAAGGGAAAUGUGGAGGCUGUGGUGUUUUGGUAGGAGGUGAAUGCAGGGCAGAGGCGGGAUGGGGUGUGUUAUCAUCGGUGAAUAAUAGGAAGUGGGUCAGAUUUGGGAGGAUGGUAGCAGGGAAUGAUGUGUGGUUUUGAGACGAGACCUGUGCAAUUUGUUCAGAUUUAUCAAACGAAAAAACAUGUUCAUGAAAACGGACAUGACAGGAGAUAUACAUGCAAUGAGAUUCAAUGUCAAAACAUCGAUAACUAAGGUGAGAGGAACUGUAGCAAAAAAACACACAGUGAAGAAGUUAGAUAAGAUGGCCGGAGAGGGCGACAAAGAAUUCGAUACUGAAGUGAAAGUUAUUGGUAGAACAAGUCACAAGAAUUUGGUUCAACUUGUUGGAUUCUGUAACGAAGGGCAACAUCGCCUUCUGGUCUACGAAUACAUGAGCAAUGGCUCUUUGGCCAAUUUUCUCUUUGGAGAUUCAAGGCCUAACUGGUAUCGAAGAAUGCAAAUUGCUUUCGAUAUAGCCAGAGGGCUCCUUUACCUCCAUGAAAUGAAGAAUGCAGCUCCCAGAUAAUCCAUUGUGAUAUCAAGCCUCAAAAUAUCCUCCUCGACGAAUCUCUUAACGCCAGGAUUUCUGAUUUCGGACUCGCCAAGCUGUUGAAGACGGACCAAACUAAAACAACUACAGCAAUCAGGGGGACCAAAGGGUAUGUAGCUCCUGAAUGGUUCAAGAACCUGCCAGUGACAACCAAAGUAGAUACCUACAGCUUGGGCAUUCUCUUGCUGGAGCUAGUUUGCUGCAGAAAGAACUUUGAGAUUAAUGCGAUGCAAGAACAUCAGAUAGUUCUUGCAGACUGGGCAUGUGAUUGCAUUAAAGAAGGAAAGUUAGACGUUUUAGUAGAAGAAGAUGAAGAGGCAACUGAAGACAUGAAAAGGGUAGAGAGAGGUUUGUGAUUGUUGCAAUUUGGUGCAUUCAUGAGGAUCCAUCUUUAAGACCUGGAAUGAAGAAAGUUGUGCAGAUGCUAGAAGGAGCUGUUCAAGUCUCUAUUCCUCCUCAUCCUUCAUCAUUUAUCAGCACAAUCUAAAUCCUUUUUGUACACACACACACACACACACACACAUAUAUAUAUAUAUAUAUCCAGAAACUAAGGCCAAUGAAUGUAACCUAUCUACCAUGUAUUGAAUAAUCUGUAGUUCCUAUCAUUUCAGACAUGUCUAGAUCAUCUUCUGGGUUGAUACUCUAAAUUUCGAGUCAAAUGAUGAUUUCUUCAACAACAAGGCUUCAAAUUCUUGAAUCCUUUUUUUUUUUCCCUUUUCCAUGCUCAAGAGUAACGAGUAGAAUGAAAGAAUUAUUGUUCAAAAUAUGUGCUUAAUAAAUAAUUACUAACCAGUACUUCAAUCUUAAAUGGUCUAGCUCUUAUAGACUUGGCCCGUGUAAAUGGCAUGUUCGUUUCCCAAGUUAUUUAUCAUAAUGUAGUCCUGAUUAAGAUCAUAUUAAUUGAGCUUGAUUUUCAUAAAAAACUUUGUUUGUAGUUAUUAGAUUAACUCAAUCCUGAUCAAUUCACAACCUUAAUUUUUUUUCUAUUUUUAAAAUAUCGUUUUAACUUUUAUUAAAAUAAAUUUAAAAAAUAUUAUUUUAAAUUAAUUUAAAAAAUCUAAAUUAACAUAUCUAAUCUGUGGGUCAUGAUGUGCGAGUUCGGGCUUAAUAUUUUUUAUGUGAAUGGUUUGUUUAACAUCUUGAGAAAUUUAGUAAUUGCAGACAAAAGUUGACCAGUCCAUUAUAAUAAUGAUAGGAAGAAAAGGUUCAUUUCGGCGUACAAGACAAUUUUAGACCAAUAUAAAAGACUAGUCGUUGCAUUUGUUGUCUUGUUUAUGUAUGACACGUAGUUGAUGGCAAUGUGACUUUCAAAUUGGAUUGAUUCGUGUGUUAAUUGUACCAUGCACAUUAAAGUUUCAUGCGCUUAUUUAUUUUCUUUUCUUUUUUUCCAUAUUAAAGAGUAACAAGUAAAAUCUUAUAUUUAUAUAUUAGCAUUAAGCAAAAGGGUUUUAUAAUUUAUUAUUCCACUUAAUUUAAUUUUAAAUAAUAAUAUAUUAUUUUGAAGGUUUAGUUUAAAUGAUAAAUGAGUUUGCUCCUUAAGCUACUAUUUAGAAUUCAAUCUUUAAAAAAACGAUUCCUUUUUCUGAAUUUACAAAUUUAGAUAUAAAUGCUCUAAUUCAAAAUCAAUAUAUAGGAGGCAGCAUUCCAACAAUGAUCACUUUUAAUUCACUUUACAAAUUACUCAACGAGAUGUUAACUAAAUUAUUGGCUCAAUUUUUUAUAUAUAAAGAAAAACAUGCAGAUGUAUCUAACAUGUUUUUUUGAUAAAAAUAAUUUAAAUUAUAUAUGAGUUAACCUGAUAUAACUUGGUUAACUUAAAAUUAACAAUCGUUAAAAACAUCGUUUGAUUAAAAAAUUUCCAAGAUUAUAUUUUUUAAGAAAUAUUAAGAUAAAAAUAUAUUGAAUCGACUCAGGUCAACCUAAAUUAACUUGUCAAAUCAACAUUAUUGUUAUCUAUUUUUGGGACCCCAUACUAAAAAAUUAAAAAACUUUGGAAAAAUAAAAUACAUAUCAAUAAGAAGAGCAUGAAAAAUAUCUAGAAAAUUUUCAAAGACUAGUUGAGGAAGAUCAAAAUGCCCAAAGUUGAAAAAUUAAUAGUUCAAUUUUGAUUGAUAAAUGCCUUAUUAACAAGAGAAAUUCAAUUUGAGAAGAAACAUUUAAAAUUGAAUGUUUAAUAACCCAAUUGGUAUUUUUUUAGGGUUUAAUUAAAUUUAUUGAAGGUUUAAUUAUGAGGAAUGUUGGUUUUUGAAUUCAAUUUGGGUUUUAAUUGGAAAGAAUUGAAGUCUUGGGGUUGAAUUGCAAUUUUAAAAAGAUAAUUUGGUCAAAUCAAGGGCUUAAUUGCAUAGAUAUUAAAGUUUGUUAGGCAAUUAGGGACUUGAUUAAAGAAACUCAAAACCAAAGACCAAAUCGUAAAAGGUAUGAGACUUAAAUCGACAGAAUCAAGGGUCAAAUUAAAGACAAUUGAAAGUUUAAUUGAUGGUCAAUUGAGGGUUAAUUUACAUAAAUCAACAAUCAAUAACCUAAUUAGAAAAGGUGCUAAAUUCUGGGGUUGAUUAUUGAGUUUGACAGGGAUGAAAUUGUAUGAAAUUAAAAGUUUAAAGAUAAUUAAAAGAAGUUUAAGUCAAAUAUAUCAAGAUCUAAGACCAAGUCACAAAUAUUCUGACAAAGUCACUCAAACAUGAUAUCUUUGUCAAGUUUAGAGAUAUGCUAGGAGUUAUCAAAAAUCAAGUUUAAUAGAGGAUGUUGAAAAUAAACUAAAUUUUUUGGUUUUUUUUAAAUGAAAAAACUAUUCGACUAGUUGAAACAGAAGAACUAAUCUACCGGUUGAAAAUUGUUUGACUAAGUAAGUCAAAAAAAUUACUUUUUCUUAUUAUAUUAAAUUAUAUUUUGUUUAGUUUAAUUUCUUAUUUGUCUAGGAUUUUAUAUUUAUAAAUAGGCUUGUAAUUAUAAGUAUAAGGUAAUUAAAAGAUGAAAAAUAAUUAAAAGAAGUUUAAGUCAAAUAUAUCAAGAUCUAAGACCAAGUCACAAAUAUUCUAAUAAAGUCACUCAAACAUGAUGUUUUUGCCAAGCUUAGAGAUAUGCUAGGAGUUAUCAAAAAUCAAGUUUAAUAGAGAAUGUUGAAAAUAAAUUAAAUUUUUGGUUUUUUUUUUAAAUAAAGGAACUAAUCGACUAGUUGAAACAGAGGAACUAAUUUACCGGUGAAAAUUAUUUGACUAAUUAAGUAAAAAAAAAUUAUUUUUUAUUAUAUUAAAUUAUUUUUUAUUUAGUUUAAUUUCUUAUUUGUCUAAAAUUUUAUAUUUAUAAAUAGGCUUUUAAUUAUAAAUAUAAGACAAGUACAGAAAAGAAAAACACUUAAUAAAACAUACUUUCCUCUAAAAAUUUCUUCUUGUUAAAUAGCCUUGCAAUUUAGUAUUUAUCCAUAUAAGCUACCACAUUAAUUUUCUUCUAGCAGGGGGCUCCUUCCAUGAAGAAUGCAUCUCGCAUUACUAUCCAAAGGGUAUGUAGUUCUUGAAUAGUUCAAGAACUUGGCUGUUACAACCAAGGUUACCUGCAGCUUUGGCAUUCUCUUCCUAGAGCUAGUUUGUUGCAGAAAGAACUUUGAGAUUAAUGCAAUGCAAGAAGAUCAGAUAGUUCUUGCAGACUGGGCAUGUGAUUGCCUUAAAGAAGGAAAGUUGAACCUUUUAGUAGAAGAAGAUGAAGAGGCAAUGGAAGACAUGAAAAGGGUAGAGAGGUUUGUGAUGGUUGCAAUUUGGUGCAUUCAUGAAGAUCCAUCUUUAAGACCUGGAAUGAAGAAAGUUGUGCAGAUGUUAGAAGGAAGUGUUCAAGUCUCUGUUCCUCCUGAUCCUUCAUCAUUUAUCAGCACAAUCUAAAUCCUUUUUGUACAUAUAUAUAUAUCCAGAAACUAAGGCCAAUGAAUGUUACCUAUCUACCUUGCGUUGAAUAAUCUGUAGUUCCUAUCAUUUCAGGGCAAUAAGGCUUAAAACGCAUGCUUUCAAUUAUUAUUUUUUCUUUUCAUGUUCACGAGUAAUAAGUAAAAUAAAAGAUUUAAAAUGAAUAUAAAGGCAAACCGUAUAUAAUUAUUAGAUAUUUUUUCUUGAUUUUCUUUUAGGAUGUUAUAUAUUAACGCAUGUAUAAAAUUCAAGAUGUUAAAUACAAUUUCUCAGCAAGAAAGUGAAUUAAAAUCAAUCUUUAAAGGUUUAUUUUAAUUAUUCUUUUUAGAUAUUUUCAAUUAAAAAAAACUUGUAGCACAAUCCUAAAUCCUAGAAGUGAAAACAUUACACGUACCCUGUGAUAUCAUCUAAUAUUUUUAAAGAAUAAUAUAAAUAAAAAUUUAAAAUCUUAACUAAUAAUUCUUGUUUUUAAAUUGAAUAAUAAGUCAUUUUUUACGAGUUAUUUCUUUUUCUGUAAUUUAAUAGAAUUUUCUAAAAACAAAACCAGAAUAUAUAUAUAAUUAAUUUCUUGGAACAAGCCACCUUUUGAAAGGGUUUUCCUCUCCAAGAUUUAGUGGAAUUUUCUCAAAACAAAAUCUAGAAUACAUAUAAAUUGUUAGGAUUUUAGAGAUUUUCAAUAAAGAAAACUUUUAUAAUUGAAGUGGUCAAAAGAAGGAAGCUUCUGAUUAAUUUCAAUGUACAGCUAAUAACAUGUCUUUUUUGCAUGGGUCUAUCACACAGUCCUUUCUUCACGUUAAUAUAUAUUGGAAUAGUUGACCAUUGAAAAUUACAACCACCUAAUGUUUGACUCAUUAAUGCUGCCAUAAGCUUUUUAUUUACCAAAAAGAAAAAUUUAUAAAGAUAAAAAAAAAACUAUUUUACAAGGAUUUUAUUUAUUUUUAUGUUUUAAAACUAUUUUUAAAAAAAUUAAAAUUUUUUAUUUUUUAUUAUUUAAAAUUAAUAUUUUUUUAAUGUUUUCAGAUCAUUUUAAUGUGCUGAUAUUAAAAUUAAUUUUUAAAAAAUAAAACAAAUUAUUUUAAUAUAUUUUUAAAUAAAAAUACUUUAAAAAAUAAUUACUAUCACACUCUUAAAUCUCAAUACAGAGAAGGUUUUUAACAUUAGUUUAUUCUCAUGCAUGAAAAAGAUUCGAAAAUAGUUGAAAUCUCUUUAUGAGAAGGGAAAAAUCAAAAUCACAUAAACAAAGUCAUGAUUGCCAUCUUCAUUUGAUACGCGGAUAGGUGGAGACUCAAUAUUUCUUCCAACUGUAAUACUCAGCUUCUGAUUAAUUCUUUCUUGUUAAAUGCUUGCUUCUUUCUUGGAAAAGAAAGAGUGUUGGAACCAAGGAAGACACAAUAGACAGUAGUUGCAGCAGAAUCUUACAUCAAUACAGCUAAAACUGUGUAAUUAAAAUGGUAAAAAAAAAAAAUGAAAGCUUCUGAGUAAUUUCAUUAGUAAUAUUUUUUAUAUAACUUGUUAUUAGGAUUUUAGAGAUUAUAUAUAUAUAUAUAAAAAAGUUGCAGCAGAAUCUUAGAUCCAAGUAGCUAAAACUGUGUAAUUGGAGUGGGUAAAAAAAAAGGAAACUUCUGGUUAAUUUCAUUAUUAAUAUUUUUUAUAUAACUUGUUAUUAGGAUUUUAGAGAUUUUUUAUAUAUAAAAAAAGAAGAAGUUGCAGCAGAAUCUUAGAUCCAAACAUCUAAAACUGUGUAAUUGGAGUGGUAAAAAAGAAAGAAAGCUUCUGAUUAAUUUCAUUAGUAAUAUUAUUUUUAUAUAACUUGUUAUUAGGAUUUUAGAGAUUUUUUAUAUAUAUAAAAAAAAGAAGUUGCAGCAGAAUCUUAGAUCCAAGCAGCUAAAACUGUGUAAUUGGAGUGGUAAAAAAAAGAAAGCUUCUGAUUAAUUUCAUUAGUAAUACUUUUUUAUAUAACCUGUUAUUAGGAUUUUAGAGAUUUUUUAUAUAAAAAAAGAAGUUGCAGCAAAAUUUUAGAUCCAAGCAGCUAAAACUGUGAAAUUGGAGUGGUAAAAAAAAAAAAGAAGCUUCUGAUUAAUUUCAUUAGUAAUAUUUUUUAUACAAUAAUAUAAAUUAUAUCUUAAAUUAUCAUCAAUGUCUUACAUUUUUUUUUAUUAAACUAGUUAUUUGAUAUGACAUUAAAAUUUUAUUAGCUAAAUUAUUAUUUAAAUUUUUUUUAAUUUACUUAAGCUUUUGAAUUGAAUUUAUUCUUUAACAACUGUUAUUAUAAAAUAAGUUUAUUUUUCUCAAGUUUUUUUGUCUAGAUUUAUUAGAAUUUCGUCAAAAAAAGACCAGAAUAUAUAACUUUUUAGGAACCAGUUAUUUAACGAUAUUAAGUAUGAAAACACUUAAUUUUUGCAUUUUAUUCUCCAAGUUCUAGUUGGAUUUUCUCAGAAAGACCAGGAUUUUAGAGAUUUUCAAUGAAGAAAAUUUAUAGCACACGCAAUCCUAAAUCAAGAGAAACAGUGAAGCCUUUAUAGUUGAAGUGGUCAGAAGAAAAGGGCCACACCGUUUAUUCCAAUGGCAUUAGUAAUCGCUCUAAGACUUAUUGCUAAUAAUUUCUCUUCUUUGAACACCCCUUUCUUCACGUUAAUAUUGGAAAACUUGACAAUUGAUCAGACUUACAAUUUUCUAAUGCUUUACUUUUACUUCAUUAAUUUAUUCAUUUGAUACGUACGCGGAUAGUUGGAGACUCGUAUUUUAUUCCAACGGCAAUACCCAGCAUAAAUAGAGAAGAGGGCUUGUGCCCUAAAUCAUGCAAUGUCUUAAAAAACAGUAUCUUCACAUCAUGGAUUUUCAACUACCGUAUUGUUUUAUCUUCCUUCUUCUUCUGCUGCUGCCAUUUUCUAGCAAUGGUCAGGCUCACAGCAACAUAUCUUUGGGCUUAUCUCUCACUGCUGCAAGUGAUAACCUUCCUUGGACUUCACCAUCUGGGGAAUUUGCUUUUGGAUUCCAGCAAGUUGGUGAUGCUGGCUACCUACUUGCCAUAUGGUUCAACAAAAUACCCGAAAGAACCAUAGUCUGGUCAGCUAAUAGAAAUGAUCUAGUUCAGGGGGGAUCAAGAGUACAACUUACGGCAGAUGGUGAGUUGGUUCUAAAUGAUCAAUCAGGCAGACAAAUAUGGAGUCCAGUUUUUGGUGGAAGUGGAGCCGCCUAUGCAGCCAUGCUUGACACGGGAAACUUCGUGGUAGCAAGCCAAGCUGGUGCCAAUUUGUGGCAGAGUUUUGAUGAACCAACAGACACACUGUUGCCCACACAAAAUCUGAAUUUAGGUGCUCAACUAAUUGCUCCCUACCUGGAAAAGAAUUAUUCACAUGGAAGAUUCAUGUUCAUUCUACAAACUGACGGGAAUCUCUUAUUGUACACAACACGUUAUCCAACAACUACAGUAAAUUAUGCUUAUUGGUCUACCCAGGAUUCUAUUGGAAGCGGUUAUAGGGUGGUCUUUAACCAGUCUGGCUAUAUGUACCUCGCAGCCCAAAAUGGCACUAUGCUUAAUUCGGUAUUCUCUAAUUCAGUAUCAAUGCAAGAUUUCUACUUGAGGGCUACCAUAGACUAUGAUGGAGUUUUUAGGCAAUAUGCUUAUCCAAAGACUGCUUCCAGUAGCACAAGGUGGCCAAUGGCCUGGACGACUUUGCCAAACUUCAUACCCUCAAAUAUCUGCGUGGUAAUUAGGGGACCAGUAGGCAGUGGAGCUUGCGGUUUCAACAGUUAUUGCAUAUUAGAAGAUGACCAAAGACCGACAUGCAAGUGUCCUCCUGGUUACACUUUCUUUGAUCCAAAUGAUGAGAGGAAGGGAUGCAAGAAAAACUUUAUUUCACAGGAUUGUGACCAUCCAUCGCAAGAAAUAGAUAACUUUAUGAUCAGGGAUAUGCUUAACACAAACUUUCCAUAUACUGAUUAUGAUGAUUUUACUUCAGUGGACGAGGAUUGGUGCAGACAAGCUUGCUUGAGUGACUGCUAUUGUGCUGUUGCCACUUAUAACAGUGGAAGCUGUUGGAAGAAGAGAGGCCCUCUCUCGAAUGGGGUAACAGAUCCAAGUAUUGGUGAUAAAGCCCUGCUGAAAGUAAGGAAAGGCAACGGGACUGCAGGUUCAAGUGCAAAGAAGAGUGAUCGAUCAACUUUGAUCACAACAGGAUCGGUGCUUUUAGGUAGCUCCAUCUUUCUAAUUGUUCUCUCUCUGCUAGGAAUCUACGUGUUCUUUACUCGAUGGAACCAACAAAAACGAAAGGUGGUACCGCAACUCCAUGUCAUGCCAGAAAUGAAUCUGCAGAAUUUUACUUACAAUGAGCUGGAAACAGCUACAGGAGGAUUCAAGGAAGAACUUGGUAGGGGUGCUUUUGGAAUUGUUUACAGAGGGGCACUAGCCAACGAAGACAAACCGCUCAUCGCAGUAAAGAAAUUAGAAAAGAUGGCCGGGGAGGGCGACACAGAAUUCAAUACAGAAGUGAAAGUUAUUGGAAGAACAAAUCACAAGAAUCUGGUUCAACUUGUUGGAUUCUGUAACGAAGGGGAAAAUCGCCUUCUGGUCUACGAGUACAUGAGCAGUGGCUCCUUGUCGAACUACAUAUUUGGAUAUUCAAGGCCUAGUUGGCACCGAAGAAUGCAAAUUGCUUUCGGUGUAGCCAGAGGGCUCCUUUACCUCCAUGAAGAAUGCAGCUCCCAGAUAAUCCAUUGUGAUAUCAAGCCUCCAAAUAUCCUCCUCGACGAAUAUCUUAAUGCAAGGAUUUCUGAUUUCGGACUAGCCAAGCUGUUGAAGACGGACCAGACUAAAACAACUACAGCAAUCAGGGGGACGAAAGGGUAUGUAGCUCCUGAAUGGUUCAAGAACCUGCCUAUCACAACCAAAGUAGACACCUACAGCUUUGGCAUUCUCUUGCUGGAGCUUGUAUGCUGCAGAAAGAACUUUGAGAUUAAUGCUAUGCAAGAACAUCAGAUAGUUCUUGCAGACUGGGCGUGUGAUUGCCUUAAAGAAGGAAAGUUGAAUCUUUUAGUAGAAGAAGAUGAAGAGGCAAUGGAAGACAUGAAAAGGGUAGAGAGGUUUGUGAUGGUUGCAAUUUGGUGCAUUCAGGAGGAUCCAUCUUUAAGACCUGGAAUGAAGAAAGUUGUGCAGAUGUUAGAAGGAGGUGUUCAAGUCUCUGUUCCUCCUGAUCCUUCAUCAUUUAUCAGCACAAUCUAAAUCCUUUUUGUACACAUAUAUAUAUCCAGAAAGUAAGGCCAAUGAAUGUUACCUAUCUACCUUGUAUUGAAUAAUCUGUAGUUCCUAUCAUUUCAGGGCAAUAAGGCUUAAAACGCAUGCUUUCAAUUAUUAUUUUUUCUUUUCAUGUUCACGAGUAAUAAGUAAAAUAAAAGAUUUAAAAUGAAUAUAAAGGCAAACCGUAAAUAAUUAUUAGAUAUUUUUUCUUGAUUUUCUUUUAGGAUGUUAUAUAUUAACGCAUGUAUAAAAUUCAAGAUGUUAAAUACAAUUUCUCAGCAAGAAAGUGAAUUAAAAUCAAUCUUUAAAGGUUUAUUUUAAUUAUUCUUUUUAGAUAUUUUCAAUAAAAAAAACUUGGAGCACAAUCCUAAAUCCUAGAAGUGAAAACAUUACACGUACCCUGUGAUAUCAUCUAAUAUUUUUAAAGAAUAAUAUAAAUAAAAAUUUAAAAUCUUAACUAAUAAUUCUUGUUUUUAAAUUGAAUAAUAAGUCAUUUUUUACGAGUUAUUUCUUUCUCUGUAAUUUAAUAGAAUUUUCUAAAAAAAAACCAGAAUAUAUAUAUAUAAUUUCUUGGAACAAGCCACCUUUUGAAAGGGUUUUCCUCUCCAAGAUUUAGUGGAAUUUUCUCAAAACAAAAUCUAGAAUAAAGAAAACUAGAAUUGUACUCCCAUCUCAGGUGGGACUCGUACGGAUUGUUAUAUAUUAACUUGGUCUGGUUCGUGGAUUGAUUGGGAUUUAGUUUAGAUGAGAAUGCAUCGUGACAGAAACACAGGCAAAGAAGAACCAGAAACUAUCAUAAGGAUUAGUGUAAGAUGCAUCCAUCAGAGGACAACAUAUCACAUCUCUUUGAUAGAAUAAAUAGUUUGUAAAACAAGCCGAUUGAUGUUUUUCUGCAGCUAUCAUCUUCGAAUACAGAUAGAUACCUGAUAAAAUAUGAAUCCAAAAGAGCGAAUAUCUUUCUGCUUGGUGUCAUUCGAUUGAUGGAACAAUCAUUUCUUUGGCCUUCGAAACAAAAGAGGGUCUUAGGAAGUAGAAUUAAUGUUACAUAUACAUGGGAAAUUAAUGCUAAGAAGAUGAAAUGUUGAGAAACUAGCAGGUAUAAUAUUGGAGCUGUAAUCCCCCCUCUUACACAAACACGUACGAGUCCCACCUGAGAUGGGAGUACAAUUCUAGUAUAUAUCAAAUAUAAAAUAAAACUUUUAUAAUUGAAGUGGUCAAAAGAAGGAAGCUUGUGAUUAAUUUCAAUGGACGUUAUCUAUUGCUCUAAGACGUACAGCUAAUAACAUGUCUUUUUUGCAUGGGUCUAUCACACAGUCCUUUCUUCGCGUUAAUAUAUAUUGGAAUAGUUAACCAUUGAAAAUUACAACCACCUAAUGUUUGACUCAUUAAUGCUGCGAUAAGUUUUUCCUAAGGCAGUAAACAGGAAGCUGCUAUGUUUUUUCCUCCAGUCAAAUGAUAAUUUAUUUCAGUUUUUUUUAUAGUUUACCGACCGGGAUUUAACGAUAUAACGAGCCGAUUCAUAAAAAUAUUAUUUUGUUAUUUUAAAAAAAAAUUAAAAUAAUAUUAUUUUAAUUUUUUUAAAAUUAAACAAGGUUUUUAUAUUGUCGGUCUGGUUCCGGGAUUUUUAUUAAGUUGAUUAAAUCUGAUUAAGUAAAUUUUAAUUAGUUUAUUUUAAAAAAUAACCAAAGUUUGGUUUUGGGUUGGCAGAUAAAUGCAUUUACCGUUUAAUAACUGGAAAAAUUUGAUGUUAGUUAAAAUUUAUUUACCAAAAAUAAAAAUUUAUAAAGAUAAAAAAAAAAGUCUUUACAAGGAUUCUGUUUGUUUUUGUGUUUCAAAAAUAUUUUUUUUAAAAUUUAAAUUUUUUUAUUUUUUUCUUUACUUGAAAUUAAUAUUUUUUGGUGUUUUUAAAUCAUUUUGAUGUGCUGAAGUCAAAAUUAAUUUUUAAAAAAUAAAAAAAUAUAUUAUUUUAAUAUAUUUUCAAAUAAAAUAUAUUUAAAAAAUAAUAUUAUCACAAUCCCAAAUAUAAUAAAAUCAUCCAAUUAGCGGAAGGUUUUUAACAUAGUUUAUUCUCAUGCAUUAAAAAGAUUCGAAAUUAGUUGAAAUCUCUUUAUGAGAAGGGAAAAAUCACAAUCACAUAAACAAAGUCAUGAUUGCCAUCUUCAUUUCAUACGCGGAUUGUUGGAGACUCAUAUUUUCUUCCAACGGCAAUACCCAGCAUAAAUAGAGAAGAGGACCUAUUGUUUAAAAUAUAGUAUCUUCACAUCAUGGAUUUUCAACUAUCAUAUUGUUUUUUCUUCCUUCUUCUUCUGCUUCAGCUUCUGCCAUUCUCCAUCAAUGGUCAGACUUACAGAAACAUAUCUUUGGGGUCAUCUCUCACUGCUGCAAGAGAUAACCUUCCUUGGACUUCACCAUCUGGGGAAUUUGCUUUUGGAUUCCAGCAAGUUGGUGAUGCUGGCUACCUACUUGCCAUAUGGUUCAACAAAAUACCCGAAAGAACCAUAGUCUGGUCAGCUAAUAGAAAUGAUCUAGUUCAGGGGGGAUCAAGAGUACAACUUACGACAGAUGGUGAGUUGGUUCUAAAUGAUCAAUCAGGCAGACAAAUAUGGAGUCCAGUUUUUGGUGGAAGUGGAGCCGCCUAUGGAGCCAUGCUUGACACAGGAAACUUUGUGGUAGCAAGCCAAGCUGCUGCUAAUUUGUGGCAGAGUUUUGAUGAACCAACAGAUACCCUGUUGCCCUCACAAAAUAUGAAUUCGGGUGCUCAACUUAUUGCUCCCUACCUGGAAAAGAAUUAUUCAGAAGGAAGAUACAAGUUCAUUCUACAAGCUGAUGGGAAUCUCAUCUUGUACACCACACACUAUCCGUUAACUACCUCAAAUUUUGCUUAUUGGUCAACCCAAAGUUCUAAUGGAAGCGGUUAUAGGGUGGUCUUUAACCAGUCUGGCUAUAUGUACCUUGUAGCUAGAGAUGGCACCAUGCUUAAUUCGGUAUUCUCUAAUUCAGUAUCAAUGCAAGAUCUCUACUUGAGGGCAACCCUGGACUAUGAUGGAGUUCUUAGGCAAUAUGUUUAUCCAAAGACUGCUUCCAGUAGCAGAAGCAGGGCUAUGGCCUGGACGACUUUGUCAAACUCCAUACCAUCAAAUAUCUGCUUGAGAAUUACGGGACAAGAAGGCGGUGGAGCUUGCGGUUUCAACAGCUAUUGCAGAUUAGCAGAUGACCAAAGACCAAGUUGCAAGUGUCCUCCUGGUUACACUUUCUUUGAUCCAAAUGAUGAGAGGAAGGGAUGCAAGAAAAACUUUAUUUCACAGGAUUGUGACCAUCCAUCGCAAGAAAUAGAUAGCUUUGAGAUCAAGGAAAUGCCUAACACAAACUGGCCAUUUAAUGAUUAUGAAAUGUUUGGUUCAGUGGACGAGGAUUGGUGCAGACAGGCUUGCUUAAGUGACUGUUAUUGUGCUGUUGCCAUUUUUAACACUGCUGGACAAUGUUGGAUGAAGAGAGUCCCUCUCUCGAAUGGGGUAACAGAUCCAAGUGUUGGUGGAAAAGCCCUGAUAAAAGUAAGGAAAGGCAACUCGACUGCAGGUUCAAGUGCAAAGAAGUGUGAUAGAUCGAAUUUGAUCACAACAGGCUCGGUGCUUUUAGGUAUCUCCAUCUUUCUAAUUGUUCUCUCAUUGCUAGGGAUCUAUGUGUUCUUUUCUCGAUGGAACCAACAGCAACAAACAAUGAUACCGCAACACCGUGUCAAGCCAGACAUCAUGAAUAUGCAGAAUUUCACUUACAGUGAGCUCGAAAAAGCUACAGGAGGAUUCAAGGAAGAACUUGGUAGCGGUGCCUUUGGAACUGUUUACAAAGGGGUACUAGCGAACGAAGACAAACCACUCAAUGCAGUGAAGAAGUUAGAUCAGAUGGCCGGAGAGGGCGACAGAGAAUUCAAUACAGAAGUGAAAGUUAUUGGAAAAACUAAUCACAAGAAUUUGGUUCAACUUGUUGGAUUCUGUAACGAAGGGCAACAUCGCCUUCUGGUCUACGAGUACAUGAGCAAUGGCUCUUUGGCCAAUUUUCUCUUUGGAGAUUCAAGGCCUAACUGGUAUCGAAGAACACAAAUUGCUUUCGAUAUAGCCAGAGGGCUCCUUUACCUCCACGAAGAAUGCAGCUCUCAGAUAAUCCAUUGUGAUAUCAAGCCUCAAAAUAUCCUCCUCGACAAAUCUUUUGUUGAAGUUUGCUUUAAGAUGCUGCGGUCAAAGAUUCUGUUUUUAGUUUAUAUUUUCCUGCAAUAAUAAUAGCUUGUCCUAGUCAUUAGGAAUUUGUUAAUCUGUUAGUUUGUUAAUAGAUCAUGGCUUUAUUUUAGCUUUUUCAGUUGUAAUUUGCUUCUAUAAAUAUGUACGAGAUUGCUGUCAACAAUUAAGCAAUUCUGUAUUAAUUCAUUCUUAAUAAAAGAGUG
rnacentral:lncRNA from 1 species